AUUGAACGCUGGCGGCAGGCCUAACACAUGCAAGUCGAACGAGUGGCGGACGGGUGAGUAAUGUCUGGGAAACUGCCUGAUGGAGGGGGAUAACUACUGGAAACGGUAGCUAAUACCGCAUACCAUCGGAUGUGCCCAGAUGGGAUUAGCUAGUAGGUGGGGUAAAGGCUCACAUAGGCGACGAUCCCUAGCUGGCCCGAGAGGAGGACCAGCCAGACUGGAACUGAGACACGGCCCAGACGCCUACGGGAGGCAGCGUUGGGGAAUAUUGCACAAUGGGCGCAAGCCUGAUGCAGCACUCCGGCGUGUAUGAAGAAGGCCUUCGGGUGGUAAAGUACUUUCAGCGGGGAGGCGUUACCCGCAGAAGAAGCACCGGCUAACUCCGUGCCAGCAGCCGCGGUAAUAC
rnacentral:rRNA from 1 species